rnacentral:rRNA from 1 species
GACGAACGCUGGCGGCGUGCCUAAUACAUGCAAGUCGAGCGAGCUUGCCUAGAUGAAUUUGGUGCUUGCACCAGAUGAAACUAGAUACAAGCGAGCGGCGGACGGGUGAGUAACACGUGGGUAACCUGCCCAAGAGACUGGGAUAACACCUGGAAACAGAUGCUAAUACCGGAUAACAACACUAGACGCAUGUCUAGAGUUUAAAAGAUGGUUCUGCUAUCACUCUUGGAUGGACCUGCGGUGCAUUAGCUAGUUGGUAAGGUAACGGCUUACCAAGGCAAUGAUGCAUAGCCGAGUUGAGAGACUGAUCGGCCACAUUGGGACUGAGACACGGCCCAAACUCCUACGGGAGGCAGCAGUAGGGAAUCUUCCACAAUGGACGCAAGUCUGAUGGAGCAACGCCGCGUGAGUGAAGAAGGGUUUCGGCUCGUAAAGCUCUGUUGGUAGUGAAGAAAGAUAGAGGUAGUAACUGGCCUUUAUUUGACGGUAAUUAC